CCCGCCCCAGUCCUCCUGGCUCUCGCCCUCUGUGGCGUAGGAGAAACCCUCUUCCACUGAGAAGGGGUCAUCCACGUCGUAGCGCUGAUGAGUAAACUGAGGCCCAAAGAAGUUAAGUAAUUUCCCAAAGUCACAAGACAAAAGAGGGCGGAGCUGUGAUUUGAAGUUGAUGCUGUUUGACUCCAAAGGUAAGGGCCCCUCCCACCUGACUGCUUUUGCAAAAUGCCUUUGGUGCUUCAGGAGCCAUAAAUAUUCUGCAGAACUGGCUAUAGAGUUUUCAAUGCAAAAUGAAAACACUGGGGCCUCUUGUUCAGAAAUUAUUAAAAAUUCAAGAUGGCAGCAGCAGAGCAUUAAACCAAGCAUGGGACCCUGUGCACAGCUGUAUGCCCAUGAGGCCAGUCCUGAUGUUGUGUGUUGAGCUCUACCGAAUGUUCUAAUGAAAUGAGUCUGCUCAGAGGCACCGUGGUGGGGUAGUAGGAGCCCCAGAUUUGAGCAUGGGUAUGCCAGAUUCUAGUAAUAGCUCUUUGAAUAACUUCCUGUUGACUUUGAGCAUGUUAUUUAACUUCUUGGAGGUUCGGUUUAGUCAUCCAUAAAAUAGAGAGAGGGAGGAGUAGGAGGGAGGUGGACUAUAUCAGUAUUUCUCCAACUCCAGUUACUUAUAUAACACAUUUUUAGUAUAUAACCAUUUAGGCUAUAACCAUGGCCUCUGGCUUCACACUCCCUGAGUUCUAAUCUUGGCUCUUCCAUAUUCUAGCUAUGUGACCACUGGCAAGUGCCUCAGUUUCCUCAUCUGUAAAGUAGAGACUGUUGUGAGGAUUAAAUAAGUAAAAUAAGUAAGAAAAGCCCACAGAAUAAUGGCUGAUAUGUGAUAAGUUUGCAUAAGUGCUAAUUAUUACUAUUCCUAUGAAUCAUAUGGUACCUGUGCUAUAGAACUAAUGUUUUUCCUUUAAUAUGACUCACAUUUUAAAUUAAAAACAUCAUCUAUAGUCUCUUUGCAAGUAUUUGUGAAAUCACAAGAUUUCAUGUGUAUGUGUGGUUUUUCUAACACAGGUGAAAAUGUGUAAUAACUAUACAAUAUUUUUAAAAGCUCAUUCAUAUGCUGUCUAAUACCAGCUGAGAAUAUUACCAAUGGAAUGGGCACCACACUGCGGGUAGCAUUGUACUAGACACUGAAGGCCCUUUUCAGCUUUAACAGUCUAUGAAUAAAUAAGUUUAUGUG